UUUGGGAAUGCCUGAAGUACCUAUUUAAGUAAAUGUUCAUUUUCGAUAAUAAAAUAAGAACAUAAUUACUUAUGGAUGUAACCGAAUUAAAAGUAAAAUUUAAAGCUUAGCCAUCAGGAUUUUAUUAAAAUAAUCAAAUUCCAACCAACAAAAUAAUGAAAUUAGGAAAGUGUUUAAAAAAUCUGGAAAAGGAAAAUAGAGAAACCUAAACUAAUCUAACUAGAAUUCUUUAGUUUAGUAAAUUAAGAACAAUGUUUAACUAAAAACAAAUCCUAAUCAACUAAGGCCAUUCUCGACCAAUUGCAGCACCCAGAAAAUAAAAGGAAUUUCUUUCCAGUUGGGACAUUAGUUACCUAAAUUUUCUAUUCAACGAACUAUAUAAACCCUACAUAUCCUUCCAUAUACACACAAACCCUUAAUUUCAUUAUCGAGCGACUCUCACCAUUGUUUAACCCGCAAAUAUGUUUUCAAAACAAUCUCAUUUAGUCCGUUCGUCAAGCCUCGGUGGAUCCGUCGAUUCACUGAAGAACCCCGUUUGGUCUACUGAAAGAAAGCAUCAUUCCAAUGCCUCGAAACCACCCAUUCAAACUCCGGUGAUAAAGAAGAGUGAUGUGGCGGUCGUCAAGAAGGUGCCAGUGGUGGUCGCACCGCCAGUUAAGGUGGCGAAGAAGCCUCGGGAAAGUAUUUUUGCAUUGAAUUCGCCACCACGUGAGAGCGGGGAGAGUAGAAUCGAAGAACGGCGCAAAAAUUAUCUUAAGAUAUGUGCGUUGUGCAAGAAGACAAUUCCUUGGAAAGAAGAUAGAUACAUGUAUGGGUAAGUACAAUUUUCUUCCCAGAUUCUGUUACCAUGUCGAACCAGAUAUAUGUUUCAUUUAUUUUAUGCAUAAAUAUUUGUCGAAAUGAAUUAAUAUUAGUACGCGAUGAUGUCUGAUCUUUCUUUAACGAGGUUUAUGGUGUUGAUUUUAUUUAUCAAUAUAUCAUUAUUUUUAUAUAUGUAUACUAC
rnacentral:lncRNA from 1 species